GACGAACGCUGGCGGUGCGCCUAACACAUGCAAGUCGAACGGUGAAGCGGGCUUCGGCCCGUGGAUCAGUGGCGAACGGGUGCGUAACACGUGGGCAACCUGCCCCUCACUCUGGGAUAACUCCGGGAAACCGGGGCUAAUACCGGAUACUCCGGCCGAACCGCAUGGUUCAGCCGGGAAAGGUCCGCUGGUGAGGGAUGGGCCCGCGGCCUAUCAGCUAGUUGGUGGGGUAACGGCCUACCAAGGCGACGACGGGUAGCUGGUCUGAGAGGACGACCAGCCACACUGGGACUGAGAUACGGCCCAGACUCCUACGGGAGGCAGCAGUGGGGAAUCUUGCGCAAUGGGCGAAAGCCUGACGCAGCGACACCGCGUGAGGGACGAAGGCCUUCGGGUUGUAAACCUCUUUCGGCAGGGACGAAGCGAUCGUGACGGUACCUGCAGAAGAAGCUCCGGCUAACUACGUGCCAGCAGCCGCGGUAAUAC
rnacentral:rRNA from 1 species